rnacentral:rRNA from 1 species
UACGUAGGGAGCUAGCGUUGUCCGGAAUCAUUGGGCGUAAAGCGCGCGUAGGCGGCCCGGUCAGUCCGCUGUAAAAGUCAAAGGCUCAACCUUUGAAGGUCAGUGGAUACUGCCGGGCUAGAGUCCGGAAGAGGCGAGUGGAAUUCCUGGUGUAGCGGUGGAAUGCGCAGAUAUCAGGAGGAACACCAACGGCGAAGGCAGCUCGCUGGAACGGUACUGACGCUGAGGCGCGAAAGCGUGGGGAGCGAACAGG